CGACUGCGGCUUUGAGGUAGUGAUGUGUGUAGCAAGUUUGCUUUGUAAAAUUUCCGAGGUAUUAGUACAUUGAAAUGGCCCGAGCUCUAAUCUGUGGCCCUGGAGAUAUAAAGAUAAACAGAACAAAACAAAACAAAAAAAACCUGGUUCUUGCCUGGCACACAGUUCAACGGAGGAGUAGACAUAAGAAGAAACAAAUAUGGCACAGUGGUUUGCUGAGGUUCACCACACUAUGACAACUGGAGAGCAAUGGAACAGAGAAUUGUGAAGAGAUGGUAUGGCACAGCAAGUGCCUGCUGACAACCAUAGAACCUUUGUGGUCCAAGAGGUAUAUGAAAAAACAGGGAAUUUCUCUGUGUCCACAAGAAAGAAAGGGCCCAGAAUAUAGGUGAGAAAGAAAGACUCAGCAGACUUGCAGGAGGUUUACCAGUCUUUCAGCCUGGGUGAGAAGAAUCCCAGGGAGAUGGGAGAAGAUAAGAAGAGGAUGCUGCCACAUCCCAAUGGAUUAUCAACAACACAGUGGUGAAACAUGAUCUCCAAGGAUACCAGUUUCCAAAAAUGAGACCAAUUAAAAUACAAAGUGGAUACCCUUUCUACCCAGAUGUCAUAGUGGCAUAUUUAAGUUCCCCAGCUCAACAACAACCAGGGUAGAGGAAGAGGACAAAGGGAAAGUAAUCUUAAAUAGGAAUGAGUUUUCAUUUUGGUAUAUCUUAGUUUGUUUUUUGUUAAGCAGGCUAAAAAAAUGAUUUCCUGCUCCCCAGUUGCUUUUCUAAUCAUCUAGCUUUAGAUUUGUCACUGGAUAAUUUUAGAGAUGUGCUCAUUUCUGUAGAGGAAUAAAUGUGAAGCCAGCCUAUAAACCUGUGAGAAGCUAAUUUGCUUUGUGUAGGUAAGCAAUUUAAAAACUAAUGUGUAGGUACAUUAUUGAGAGGAAAGGUAAAAAGGCACAGUAGAAAGCUAAAAAUAGAUGAUUUUCUGUAUCAUU